GAUUUCUGGCUUGGUGCGCCUGGCCCGCCACGGUUACGUGUGUGAGUGCCGGGUCGCGCCUGCCAUCCUUCUAGAGACCGUCCCUACCCUUCACUGGGCCGGGGGCGUUAUCUAGAUCCUUUACUUUGAAAAAAUUAGAGUGUUUAAAGCAGGCUAUUGCUAUGAAUACAUUAGCAUGGAAUAAUAAUUUAGGACUUCGGUUCUAUUUUGUUGGUUUCUAGGACUGAAGUAAUGAUUGAUAGGGAUAGUUGGGGGUGCUAGUAUUCAGCGGCCAGAGGUGAAAUUCUCGGAUUCGCUGAAGACUAACUUAUGCGAAAGCAUU
rnacentral:rRNA from 1 species